GGAAGGUUGUCCGAGCUGGCCGAAGGAGCACGCCUGGAAAGUGUGUAGGCGUCACAAGCGUCUCAAGGGUUAGAAUCCCUUACCUUCCG
rnacentral:tRNA from 1 species